GCGGAAGUGGCGGAAUUGGUAUACGCGCAUGCUUGAGGGGCAUGUCCGCAAGGGUGGGGGUUCGAGUCCCCCCUUCCGCACCA
rnacentral:tRNA from 1 species